UAGAUUUGCCAUACUCAGAAGCUCGUUC
rnacentral:sRNA from 1 species